AGGGAAUCUUCCACAAUGGACGCAAGUCUGAUGGAGCAACGCCGCGUGAGUGGAGAAGGCUUUCGGGUCGUAAAACUCUGUUAUUGAAGAAGAACGUGCGUGACAGUAACUGGUCUGCAGUGACGGUAUUCAAUCAGAAAGUCACGGCUAACUACGUGCCAGCAGCCGCGGUAAUACGUAGGUGGCAAGCGUUGUCCGGAUUUAUUGGGCGUAAAGCGAGUGCAGGCGGUCUUUUAAGUCUGAUGUGAAAGCCUUCGGCUUAACCGAAGAAGGGCAUCGGAAACUGGGAGACUUGAGUGCAGAAGAGGAGAGUGGAACUCCAUGUGUAGCGGUGAAAUGCGUAGAUAUAUGGAAGAACACCAGUGGCGAAGGCGGCUCUCUGGUCUGUAACUGACGCUGAGGCUCGAAAGCGUGGGUAGCAAACAGGAUUAGAUACCCUGGUAGUCCACGCC
rnacentral:rRNA from 1 species